UUACGGCCAUAUCACAUUGAAACAGUGGUUCUUGUCAAAUCACUGAAGUUAAGCAACAUUGAGUCUGGUCAGUACUCAGAUGUGUGACUGCUGGAGAAUACCAGGUGCUGUAA